UACGAAGGUGGCAAGCGUUGUUCGGAUUUACUGGGCGUACAGGGAGCGUAGGCGGUUGGAUAAGCCCUCCGUGAAAUCUCCAGGCUUAACCUGGAAAGUGCAGAGGGGACUGUUCAGCUAGAGGAUGGGAGAGGAGCGCGGAAUUCCCGGUGUAGCGGUGAAAUGCGUAGAGAUCGGGAGGAAGGCCGGUGGCGAAGGCGGCGCUCUGGAACAUUUGUGACGCUCAUGCACGAAAGCGUGGGGAGCAAACAGG
rnacentral:rRNA from 1 species